rnacentral:tRNA from 1 species
CACGCGGUGGGUCGCGACCACCGGCCCUGGUAUGACCGGCAGCGGCCGGAGCCGUUCGCAGCCGCGCUGCGCGC